rnacentral:snRNA from 1 species
AGCUUUUCGCAGUGGCCAUAUCAUAGCCAAUGAGGUUUAUCCAAGGAGUGAUUAUUGCUAAUUGAAAACUUUUCCCAUUUAGAAACAGCCACUCUUAACAUUAUGGUGUCAUUCUUUAUAGUCUUUUUUCUGA